AUUGAACGCUGGCGGAAUGCUUUACACAUGCAAGUCGAACGGCAGCACGGGGGCAACCCUGGUGGCGAGUGGCGAACGGGUGAGUAAUACAUCGGAACGUGCCCAUGUCGUGGGGAUAACGUAGCGAAAGCUACGCUAAUACCGCAUACGAUCUACGGAUGAAAGCGGGGGAUCGCAAGACCUCGCGCGAUUGGAGCGGC
rnacentral:rRNA from 1 species